AUGCGCUUGGUCAACGAAUGCUGUGCGGUGGGCCUCGUUUCUCAUGGCGGAGGCUACCACGUCGCUGCACUAGCCAUGGAGGAGAAUGGAGAGUUCCUGCUCUACAUCUUCAGCUCCGAGACGCGAGCCUGGACCAUCAAGAAACCAGUCUUGUCAAUGGCAGAUGGAGCCACUGACCUUGGCGACUACAUGCCGGGCAAGGCGAUCGCUGUCGGUGAUGGCGGUGUCAUGGCGUUCGUCAACUUGUGGAAUGGCAUCCUCUUCUGCAACGUCCUUGACAGUGGUGAACACGCUGAGCUGUGCUAUCUACGUCUGCCAUCUGCAGAGCUCUGCCGGUCAGACAUGAACUACCGGUUGCAACCUCGAGACAUCGCCUUCGACAUGUCCAGCGACACAAUUCGCAUCAGGUUCGUUGAGGUGGUUUGUCCCUCCUCUCCGGGUUGGCGCGCUUCCACCUGGACUAUGACCACUACGGCUACGAGUCCUUGGCGCCAACAGGAGAAGGGCUGGCAGCAGGGCUUCGUGCUCUAUGAUCAUGAACUCUUGGUGGCCGAUGGUGUCAGCACUGACGGGCUGCUGCCUGAGGUUUCGGAAUUGGCCGAGACGAAAUUUGCUAACCUCUUAGUGGAUAUGCCCAUGUUGAGCUUACACGAAAACAACAUCAUCUGUUUCUUGGCCAAACACCAUAUGGCGGACAGUGAAGUUUGGUCGAUUGCUGUCGACAUGGAGAUGAAGAAGCUGAAAGGAGUCAAUCUUCUUCAGGUCGGAAGAUGCACAAGACUAUUCUACAGCACCAUCUCCAGCCAUCUCAAUAUGACAGCUGCAGCUUCAGGUGAAAAGGAAUGCCCAAAGAGGCCAGGAACCCAGCUAGAGGCAUAUCCUCACAAGAAGCAGCAGCUAUCCAUGAUGUCAUCCGCGGUUGGUGAACAGGAGCACGACGCCAUGGGAGCUCCUGAUGGGGAUGAGGAUAAUGUGUGA
rnacentral:rRNA from 1 species